rnacentral:miRNA from 1 species
GUACGGUUUUCAGGGAGUCGGCU